AACGAACGCUGGCGGCAUGCUUAACACAUGCAAGUCGAACGAGACCUCCGGGUCUAGUUGCGCUCGGGUGCGUAACGCCUGGGAACUUGCCCGUAGGUUCGGUACCCCUCCCUGAAAGGGGACUUCAUAAAGGUUAAGCUCAUCGCACCAAGGAUUUCUGGCGUCUGGAUGGGGUUUCGUUGGUUUCGGUGGUUGGUAGGGUAUAAGCAGGUCAAGGCGGUGAUGCAUAGCUGGUCGGUGAGGAGGAUCAGCCACACUGGAACUGAGACACGGACCAGACUCGUACGGGAGGCAGCAGUGGGGAGUAUUGGACGAGGGGGGAAAGCCUGAUCCAGCAACGCCGGGUGAGAGAUGAAGGCGGUAGGGUUGUAAAGCUCUUUUAGACGGGAUGAUAAUGACGGUACCGGGUAAAGAAGCACCGGCUAACUACGUG
rnacentral:rRNA from 1 species